rnacentral:ncRNA from 2 species
GGUCAGAAGGAAGCGCAUGGGCUGCGGGUCCUUCCCCGCAGUUGACGAGGUGGAGGUUCCCUGUCGCGCGACAGGGCUAACGUCGGCGUUACCGGCGGAACAUCGAGAGAUCAGCGGAUGCCUCCCAGGCGUGCUGCCGCCUGUAAGCGCUCCGGGAAACCCAUCCGGCGACGGAUGGAAACAAAGCGCCUUGCAGUCA